UACGUAGGUGGCAAGCGUUAUCCGGAUUUACUGGGUGUAAAGGGCGUGUAGGCGGUUUUGCAAGUCAAUGUGAAAUCUCCGGGCUUAACCCGGAAACUGCAUCUGAAACUGCAGAACUUGAGUACUGGAGAGGAUAGUGGAAUUCCUAGUGUAGCGGUAAAAUGCGUAGAUAUUAGGAGGAACACCAGUGGCGAAGGCGACUAUCUGGACAGUAACUGACGCUGAGGCGCGAAAGCGUGGGGAGCAAACAGGAUUAGAUACCCCUGUA
rnacentral:rRNA from 1 species